UGGGAUGUAGUUCAGUGGUGGAACAUUUGGCCUAGCAACCAUAAGGCCCUGGGUUCCAUACUCAGCACCAA
rnacentral:tRNA from 1 species